rnacentral:rRNA from 1 species
GAUGAACGCUAGCUGGAGGCUUAAUACAUGCAAGUCGAGCGGGAUUGGGUAGCAGUACCCACGAGAGCGGCGCACGGGUGAGUAACGCGUACACGACCUACCUCUAACAGGGGGAUAGCCCUGGGAAACUGGGAUUAAUACCGCAUAUAAUUCUGAAUAAUAAAGGUUUGGAAUGAAAGCUGAGGCGGUUAGAGAUGGGUGUGCGUCUGAUUAGCUAGUUGGUAGGGUAACGGCCUACCAAGGCGAUGAUCAGUAGGGGGCGUGAGAGCGUGGGCCCCCACACGGGUACUGAGACACGGACCCGACUCCGACGGGAGGCAGCAGUAAGGAAUAUUGGUCAAUGGGCGAAAGCCUGAACCAGCCAUCCAGCGUGCAGGAAGAAGGCCCUAUGGGUUGUAAACUGCUUUUAUCAGGGAAGAAACCUCUGGAUUUACUCCGGAGCUGACGGUACCUCUAAAGUAAGCACCGGCUAACUCCGUGCCAGCCGCCGCAGUAAUAC